AACGCUGGCGGCAGGCCUAACACAUGCAAGUCGAGCGGAAACGAUCCUAGCUUGCUAGGAGGCGUCGAGCGGCGGACGGGUGAGUAAUGCAUAGGAAUCUGCCCGGUAGUGGGGGAUAACCUGAGGAAACUCAGGCUAAUACCGCAUACGUCCUACGGGAGAAAGCAGGGGCUCUUCGGACCUUGCGCUAUCGGAUGAGCUUAUGUCGGAUUAGCUGGUUGGUGAGGUAACGGCUCACCAAGGCGACGAUCCGUAGCUGGUCUGAGAGGAUGAUCAGCCACAUCGGGACUGAGACACGGCCCGAACUCCUACGGGAGGCAGCAGUGGGGAAUAUUGGACAAUGGGGGCAACCCUGAUCCAGCCAUGCCGCGUGUGUGAAGAAGGCUUUCGGGUUGUAAAGCACUUUCAGUGAGGAAGAAGGCUUGUCGGUUAAUACCCGGCAAGAAAGACAUCACUCACAGAAGAAGCACCGGCUAACUCCGUGCCAGCAGCCGCGGUAAUACGGAGGGUGCGAGCGUUAAUCGGAAUUACUGGGCGUAAAGCGUGCGUAGGCGGCUUGAUAAGCCGGUUGUGAAAGCCCCGGGCUCAACCUGGGAACGGCAUCCGGAACUGUCAGGCUAGAGUGCAGGAGAGGAAGGUAGAAUUCCCGGUGUAGCGGUGAAAUGCGUAGAGAUCGGGAGGAAUACCAGUGGCGAAGGCGGCCUUCUGGACUGACACUGACGCUGAGGUACGAAAGCGUGGGUAGCAAACAGGAUUAGAUACCCUGGUAGUCCACGCCGUAAACGAUGUCGACUAGCCGUUGGGGUCCUCGAGACCUUUGUGGCGCAGUUAACGCACUAAGUCGACCGCCUGGGGAGUACGGCCGCAAGGUUAAAACUCAAAUGAAUUGACGGGGGCCCGCACAAGCGGUGGAGCAUGUGGUUUAAUUCGAUGCAACGCGAAGAAACCUUACCUACCCUUGACAUCGUGCGAACUUUCCAGAGAUGGAUUGGUGCCUUCGGGAACGCACAGACAGGUGCUGCAUGGCUGUCGUCAGCUCGUGUUGUGAAAUGUUGGGUUAAGUCCCGUAACGAGCGCAACCCUUGUCCCUAUUUGCCAGCGAUUCGGUCGGGAACUCUAGGGAGACUGCCGGUGACAAACCGGAGGAAGGUGGGGACGACGUCAAGUCAUCAUGGCCCUUACGGGUAGGGCUACACACGUGCUACAAUGGCCGGUACAGUGGGUUGCAAAGCGGCGACGUGGAGCUAAUCCCAUAAAGCCGGUCUCAGUCCGGAUCGGAGUCUGCAACUCGACUCCGUGAAGUCGGAAUCGCUAGUAAUCGUGCAUCAGAAUGGCACGGUGAAUACGUUCCCGGGCCUUGUACACACCGCCCGUCACACCAUGGGAGUGGACUGCACCAGAAGUGGUUAGCCUAACUUCGGAGGGCGAUCACCACGGUGUGGUUCAUGACUGGGGUGAAGUCGUAACAAGGUAGCCGUAGGGGAACCUGCGUG
rnacentral:rRNA from 1 species